CGAGGAGCCAGCGGCUUCUCCCAUCACAGUGGUUCCCACCGUUGUCUUAGAAACCAGUCCCCGAGGCUUGGCAAAGCAGGAGCCCUCCAUGGAGGUGCUUGGGUGUCGGGGCAAACCCCAGGCGGAGUCCGGGGGAAGCAGCACGGCAUCCCAGCCUCAGGCCUGCCCGGACGGUGUUGGUUGGGCUACAUUGAGGCCAGGUGCAGUGGCUCACACCUCUAAUCCCAGUUCUUUGGGAGGCUGAGGCCAGCGGAUCACGAAGUCAGGAGAUCAAGACCAUCCUGGACAACACGGUGAAACCCUGUCUCUUCAAAUAUACAAAGAAUUAACCAGAGAAGCAGGGAAUCUGGAAUUUUGGGUGAAAUGUCUGUUUCCAGAAGCUGAAAAUGCUCUCAAAUGGAAAAUUCAGUAGGGUCAGAAUGGCCUGGGGUACUGCACACUUCCUGCCAGGAAUAGAAGGCCCCACAGCUAUAGGACCUCUCUUCCGUUUAGUUCUUUGGAAGGAUGAGCAAAUUAUUCAGCCUCUCUGAGCCUCAGUUUUCUCAUCCAUAAAAUGAGGACAGUACACCAACCUCGCAGGUCACAAGGAUGUUAUGAAAUCAGGUAAGGUUGGGGAAGAUGUCAGGUGAUAGAAUGUACCCUGCCUCUGACAGCAUCCAAUCUGGAGCAAAGGCUUCUUUCAACCCUCCCCCAAACUCCCAAUACAAGCCCAAGUUCUGGAACAAGUACUUUCCAACACCUCCUUCAGAGAAGCUCCCUGGCUCCAGGCAGUGCUUGGUCCCCUCACUGCAGCAGGAAGCCCAGCUUGUGAACUGCAGGUGUGCUCCAGGUGGUUGCUGGAUGCAGGGUAUUGAUAGAUGGAUCUCAUCGAUACCCCCACUGCAUAACCAUAGUGCAGUGAAUAGAAGACACUUCUCUGCACCCCAAAAGCUCCAUGCUGAUUGCGAGAAGGAAAUGCUGGAUGGAGGGGUUCCUGGAACUACUGUGAGGGAAAUGGUAACAGAACUUUGGAUGUGGAACGUGCAGUAGGAGUUACACGAAGUGCGGGUCUGCACUUGGGGUGGUCAGCACGGCGGAUGCCCAGCAAACGCACUGCCUGGUCCACAUCCCGGAGUGGUCUCUACGCCCCAGUCGGCAUCGCAGCUGAUGGUGAAACUUUUGGUGUGGCAGAAGAGUGUCCACAAACUUUGGAAGUUGCUAGAGAAAAAUGAAACGACUAGUUUUGAAAGCCUUACUUCUGCCAAUGGAAGCACAUUCCAGCAUGUCGCCAACGCAAUCCAUUUUCCACCACUUUCACAAGAAAAGUUACGGCACAAUUAUACUAUCCUACCCUUAUAUACUUUUUGUGCAUGUGUACUUGUAUGUAUGUAUGUUAUAUAUGUUUUAUAUAUAUAUAUAUAUAUAUAUAUAUAUAUGUAAAAUACGCCACAGAUGAACAAGGAUUAGAAAAUUAAAUGCACACAGGUCAUGUCAGUGCUAUGUAUAAUGUGGUGUACUAAGUAUAGAUGUUCAACAGUGUGGGAUCCAGGCUGGGACAAGACUCCUAGUCUUAAGCAAUUCUUUCUAGGUUCAGUCUCUGGAAAUAAUGCUUUGUAUCAAAUGUGCGAGAAAAUUAAUGGGUUUUAAAGACUAUUCUAUGUCAACUAUAACAUUUCCUUUGGGGAUUUCUGUCCCUUAUAAUAUCUACCUCAUUUUUG
rnacentral:lncRNA from 1 species